AAGCAAAAAAAAAUAAUAAAAAAGCAAAAAAAAUAAAACAAAAAAGAUAAAAAAAUUAUAAAAAAUACGAAAAUAAAACCACUAAAUCGCCAAAUUUAAAAUCGCCAAAACAUCAUUCACACCUUGCAGAUUCGCCCUCAGAUAGCCUGUUUGCUGACAACUGAGGCUGCAACAAUACCAAAUCUAACUUCCUAUUCCAUUAUAAUCCGAUCCCAUUUACACCAUGCAGAUUCGCCCUUAGAUAGGGUCAAGGCCUGUUUGCUGACAACUGAGGCUGCAACAAUACCAAAUCUAACUUCCUAUUCCAUUAAAAUGUAAUUAAAUAAUUUUUUGGAAGCAAUUAAAUUUUUGGUUAUUACAUAAAGGGGUAUAUUAUUUUUUUUUAUUUUAUUUUUUUUGUUAUUUUUUUUAUUUAUUUGGUGAUAAUGUAUUUUUUCUUUUAAGAUAUUUUAAAAUAUUUUUUUCUUUUUUAAAAAUAUUUCUUAAUUCCUAGGGGAGGGGAGGAGGGUAGAAGAAUUGUGAUGAGUCAAUUUUAUUCAUUAAAUUGAAAUAUAGUCUGAUAAUCUAAGCAAUUUUAGGAAAAUUAGCAUAAAAUCUUAAAUUUUGUAUUUAUUAGGGGUAAAAUAGACCCCAUCUUUAAAUUCUAAGU